GGGUGCGAUCAUACCAGCACUAAUGUACCGGAUCCCAUCAGAACUCUGCAGUUAAGAGUGCUUGGGCGAGAGUAGUACUAGGAAUGGUGAACUCCCGGGAAGUCCUUGUGUUGCACCCACUA
rnacentral:rRNA from 1 species